UAGAGUUUGAUCCUGGCUCAGAUCGAACGUUAGCGGCGGGCCUAACACAUGCAAGUCGCACGACAAAAGGGCUUCGGCCCCCAGUAAAGUGGCGGACGGGUGAGUAACACGUGUAUAACCUGCCCUUCAAUGGGGGAUAACUGUCCGAAGGGAUAGCUAAUACCGCAUGAGUCUCACGAGGUCUCCGGGUCUUGUCGGGAAAACAGCCCUCUCCAUGGAAGGUUGUGCUGAAGGAUGGGUCCGCGUCCCAUCAACUAGUUGGUGAGGUGACGGCUCACCAAGGCGAAUACGGGUAGCUGGUCUGAGAGGAUGAUCAACCACACUGGAACUGAGACACGGUCCAGACUCCUACGGGAGGCAGCAGUGGGGAAUAUUGGGCAAUGGGCGCAAGCCUGACCCAGCCACGCCGCGUGAGUGAUGAAGGCCUUCGGGUCGUAAAGCUCUGUGGGGAGGGACGAACAAAUCUGGGGCUAAUCACCCGGGUCCUGACGGUACCUCCUUAGCAAGCACCGACUAACCCUGUGCCAGCAGCCCCGGUCAA
rnacentral:rRNA from 1 species